rnacentral:tRNA from 1 species
GUCAGGAUGGCCGAGUGGUCUAAGGCGCCAGACUCAAGGUUGAUUCCUUCCUGAACAAAAAGGGUCUUCUGGUCUCCAAAUGGAGGCGUGGGUUCAAAUCCCUCUUCUGACA